GGAAGAAAAUAGCAACAAGGCCCCAAAGGUGGAAGUGCAGCCUGAGAACCGAGCCAGCCUGGGACUGCUCUGCCAGCACAGCUUGCCACCCCGCAGAGCACAGCAGGCGAUGCUCUCAGGCUUCAUGGUACUGCUAUCCCUCCUAGGAUGGGAAAAACAAAGCUCAGAGAGGUAAAAUAACUUGCCCAAGGACACACAACCAGGAAACAAAGGAGCCAGGAUUCAAACCCCAAGCGUGGCCAGCUCCAAAGCCCAGACUAUGACAGCAGCGACUUGAGUUCUCAAGUGAAAAAUGAAAAUGGGGUCUUUCUGGAAUCAGCAAGGAUUGCAGAGUGGUAAGGUUAGAAGGCACCUUAUGUAAGAGCCUGGCACAUGACCUAGGUCGUGAUCACUCUAGCUUCAAAGGAGUCUGGGAAGGUGCAUGUUCUUAAAUGGGCACACUCCUGCCUUAAACACAACUGGAGGUCUGUCAGUGAAGAAUAAGGGGAGAUUGAAGAUCAAGAGGCCAAUCAGGAGUGCCUGACAAACCACUGCCACAAACAAGCAGACCAACUGGAUUCCAAUUUUCUUACUCAAUCUCAGAAGCCUAAACGAAAGUGAUCAUUUUCAAGCUGGAAUUUUGAGCAGAGAUUUCAGCUCUUCAUAUAUGGUGCUAAGCCAUAUGUAUAAAAAGUAAAAAAUUCCAUCAAAUACUUGGUCCUUUUAUCUAUAUAAUACUAAAUAUAUAUGCUGAAACCAAAACAUGUGGAAUAAUCUUUCCUCCUUGGAAUUCUUAAUCACUAUAUACUUUAAUUUUAUACUUAAUUUAAAAAAUCAGCUUUCAAGAAGUCCAUUCACUACAAUAGCCAGGAUAUGCAACCAACUUAAGUGCUCAUCAAUACAUGAAUGGAUAAAGAAGAGGUGGUACAUAUACAAUGGAAUCUUGCCAUUGGCAACAACAUGGAUGGACCUAGAGGGUAUUCUGCUAAGUGAACUAAGUCCGAGAAAGAAAAAUACCAUAUGAUUUCACUUAUAUGUGAAAACUAAACAAAGCAAAAACCAGAAAUAGACUCAUAAAAACAGAGAACAAAUUGGUGGUUGUCAGAAGGGGAGGGAGCCAGGGGAUAGGUGAAAUAGGUGAA